CCCAUGAAUGAGAUCACUUCAUGAAAAAUAGACUCCUGGAGUUGAAUUUAACUUGUUUGUAUUUGUUUGAAAGGAAUAGAGCAGAGUUUUAUAAAUCUAUGGAGAAACAGGGCAGUGUAAUAUUCAGAGGUGGGAACAUCCAAGGUUCCUAACUCAUCAUGUUGUUCAAUUUUGCCCAAGGCCAGUCUUGUAUUAUUAUCUCCAAAUACCUAAGAAAUAAGAUUUAUCUCCAAAACCCAACAAAGUUCAUUAAAUAUAGAUGACUGAGAAAGAGAAGAUCUGAGACUAGAGUAAUCCAACUCCUAUUUGCCCAAGGCAAAAAUCUUGAAGGAAAAUAAUAUAUACUACUAUGAAUUUCAUUCCUCUCACCUGUGACAUCAUUUUGGAUAUAUGCAUUUCAGUUCCCAGAAACACCCAAAGACAAGAAUCUCCUGACUUGUCAAUGACCCUAUAAGUGGGUAGAAUAACACCCAGCAAAAAAGAGGUGGUGACUACAAAUUUGAUGAAAGAAUGCAUGCAUUUCCCCUUGCAUUGUGUCAAAAGAAAAGUGAUGCAGCGAGCAAGAAUACAGUGUCAACCUACAAUGUACUGAAGAAGUAUCACAUGCUGACAUGUGUCCUCCCAAAAAUCCAACUGCUAGAAAGUGUGUGUACAUAAAGAGGAAGAAAGAAAAGCAUCAGCAGUAUCUCAAUACAGGUGCAAAAGAGGCAGAAAUGUUAUGGAGUAUGAGUGUUUAUAACUUGGUGCCAGAUAUUUGGAGACAAUAAAUGUGACCAAAGUGUGAAGAGGAGAAUUCUUUCAUCUAUUAAAUUGUUUAAUGACAACUCGGUCAUCCUCCAAGGUCACUCUUGUCAUCACUGCCUUGCAAAGUGGCCCACUGGGAUCAGACCAGCUGCCUGGAGUCUGUUUUGCUUGCAGAGUUCCCACAAGGGAGAGAAAGCUCGCCAGCCUUCCUGAGUCAAACAGCAGACAGGAGCACAGAGGAAUGCUGAAGAAGAGCAAGAGAACAUUGCAAUAAAACAAGCAAGAAAGGAGGGGGUGUGGAAGCACGAGAUCUGAAGAGGAAGAUAAUUUCAUUCCAGUGUAGAAGUUAGCUCGCUUGCUUCUAGAACUUCACUCUCCAGAAGUAUUUUUUUGAAAUAUUUACUCAACAUUAUACAAAUAAACUGUGGCAACUGAAGAAGAAGAGAAGAAACGAGUUAGGAGUGUAAAGAGGGAGGGAUGUGAUCAGAGGCUCCUAGUCGGUGUGAAAGAAAAACUCCCAGAACCCAAGGAAAGAAAGACACUUACUCAAAUAAUAGCAAAUAUUUUAAGGUGAGUUAUAUGAGGGAAUAUGGAGAGAGAAUAGAAGAGAGGGUGUCAAGAAAGUCUUUAAGCACAGUUUAUCUGACUUAAAUGUUGAACUAUCACUCUCGGCUUCUGCCAGUCAGCAAUAUAAACUGUGAUUACAAUAACUCAGAAAGGAUGAUAGCUUGAGCAGUGUGAUGGUGAGAAGAGCUGCUGAGACAUGGCCAGCAUCUGCCUUGACCUUAACAAGUCUAUAAGAUUGGACCAUGGAUUAGCUGUAGAGUUAGAGAAAGAAGAGCGCUAAGAACAAUGACAAGAUUUUAAGGCUGAAUUGGAAAAAUAAAUUGACAUCUCCAAGAUGGAGAGGA